rnacentral:rRNA from 1 species
GCAAGUCGAACGAGAACCUAGAGCUUGCUUUAGGGGACAGUGGCAGACGGGUGAGUAACGCGUGGCAACCUACCUAUCAGUACGGAACAACAGUUAGAAAUGACUGCUAAUACCGUAUACGUCCUCCGGGAGAAAGAUUUAUCGCUGAUAGACGGGGCCGCGUUAGAUUAGCUAGUUGGUGAGGUAAUGGCUCACCAAGGCGACGAUCUAUAGCUGGUCUGAGAGGAUGACC